GCCCAGUCAAAGCAUUAUUUUCUUGGUUUUUAAUAACAGGUAUCAAGAAAGGUUUCAUUUUUCCAAGGGUUUCAAGAAACAACAUGAAAGUCAUUGCUGGAUCAGCAAGAGGGGUUACCUACUACCGCAAAUGGUUUUCUGAAAUGUGCAAAAAUCGCUUUGGAAAGCAUUAUACCACACAUAGUAUCAGGAGAUCAGCAGCAAAGUGGGCUGCAAGAUGUGGUGCUGAUGACAGUACAAUCAA